rnacentral:rRNA from 1 species
UACGUAGGGUGCAAGCGUUAAUCGGAAUUACUGGGUGUAAAGCGUGCGCAGGCGGCUUUGCAUGACAGAUGUGAAAUCCCCGGGCUUAACCUGGGAACUGCAUUUGUGACUGUAGAGCUGGAGUACGGCAGAGGGGGAUGGAAUUCCGCGUGUAGCAGUGAAAUGCGUAGAUAUGCGGAGGAACACCGAUGGCGAAGGCAAUCCCCUGGGCCUGUACUGACGCUCAUGCACGAAAGCGUGGGGAGCAAACAGG